CAGGGUGGCCACCCAGUAAUCCGCACAAGUUAGAAUGUGGGCAACUCGGCAGUCGUUGCACACGCACUUUGGUGACUCUAGAUAACCCUGGGCCGAUCGCACGUCCCCUUGACGACACAUUCGGAUGUCUGCCCUAUCAACUUUCGAUGGUACUUUCUGCGCCUACCAUGGUGACCACGGGUAACUGGGAAUCAGGGUUCGAUUCCAGAGAGGGAGCCUGAGAAACGGCUACCACGUCCAAGAAAGGCAGCAGGUGCGCAAAUUACCCACUCCCGACGCGGGGAGGUAGUGAUG